UBGGUAGUCCACGCUGUAAACGAUGUCGAUUUGGAGGUUGUGGUCAUAAACUGUGGCCUCCGGAGCUAACGCGUUAAAUCGACCGCCUGGGGAGUACGGCCGCAAGGUUAAAACUCAAAUGAAUUGACGGGGGCCCGCACAAGCGGUGGAGCAUGUGGUUUAAUUCGAUGCAACGCGAAGAACCUUACCUACUCUUGACAUCCAGCGAAUCCUUUAGAGAUAGAGGAGUGCCUUCGGGAACGCUGAGACAGGUGCUGCAUGGCUGUCGUCAGCUCGUGUUGUGAAAUGUUGGGUUAAGUCCCGCAACGAGCGCAACCCUUAUCCUUUGUUGCCAGCGAGUAGUGUCGGGAACUCAAAGGAGACUGCCGGUGAUAAACCGGAGGAAGGUUGGGAUGACGUCAAGUCAUCAUGGCCCUUACGAGUAGGGCUACACACGUGCUACAAUGGCGUAUACAGAGAGAGGCGAGCCAGCGAUGGGAAGCGGAACUCAGAAAGUACGUCGAAGUCCGGAUUGGAGUCUGCAACUCGACUCCAUGAAGUCGGAAUCGCUAGU
rnacentral:rRNA from 1 species